rnacentral:rRNA from 1 species
CCUACAGGGGGCUGCAGUGGGGAAUAUUGCACAAUGGGGGCAACCCUGAUCCAGCCAUGCCGCGUGUGUGAAGAAGGCCCUCGGGUUGUAAAGCACUUUCAGUGAGGAAGAACGCCUGGUGGUUAAUACCCAUCAGGAAAGACAUCACUCACAGAAGAAGCACCGGCUAACUCCGUGCCAGCAGCCGCGGUAAUACGGAGGGUGCGAGCGUUAAUCGGAAUUACUGGGCGUAAAGCGCGCGUAGGUGGCUUGAUAAGCCGGUUGUGAAAGCCCCGGGCUCAACCUGGGAACGGCAUCCGGAACUGUCAAGCUAGAGUGCAGGAGAGGAAGGUAGAAUUCCCGGUGUAGCGGUGAAAUGCGUAGAGAUCGGGAGGAAUACCAGUGGCGAAGGCGGCCUUCUGGACUGACACUGACACUGAGGUGCGAAAGCGUGGGUAGCAAACAGGAUUAGAUACCCGUGUAGUC